AGACAUUUCAGAUUUAUUCAAAACUGUUAAACUAAACUAAAAUACAAAAUUAAUCUGUAACCCACCAAUGACAGUAACAUUGAAUCUCUUAUAUGAUGUUCUUCCAAGGUUGAUGACUGUUAGAUCAUAAAGUCCACAAUUUUCAGUUCUGAUGUUUCUGAUGGUCAGAGAACCAGUCUUUUCUUCCAUAUCAGGUCAUCUCUCUGUACUUCAGUAACAUCGGUGUGUAAAGUGAGAGAAUCUCCCCUCAUCACUGGUAUGGAUUGGAUUUCAUCAGUUUCGGCAGCACCAAACACACCUGAAAAUCAUUUUGAGCACAUUCUCAAUGACUCACCUGAAAAGAUGAAGAAGAUAAGCGUAAACAGAACGAAGAAAAUCAUCCUGACCGUUUUGCAGCCUGUUUAUCUCAAGAAGUGCCUUUGCGGAUGUAACGAGGGAUAUAUGUAGAGCAUAGUUACGCCUUUAUUGGUCCCAAGCGUGCGUCUGUGAUGGUGUCCACCUCCAGUCUGCAGGCGGCGAGUGCAAAAGCAGCGAUAAACUCCAUCAGGAAUGUCCAGCCUGCGAUAAACACCC